AUCCAUUAUUAUUUUCUUUCUUCUCCACCCGAAACCGUAAGGAAAGAAAGAAGCCAUAGCCAUUUUUUCUUCAAGCAAUCCACCCAUGCAUGUGUAAGACAUGCGUGGGACAUGCUUCAGCCACAUUAUGAGAGACAGUAUAAGACAUGUCUGGGACAUGCAUCAGCCUCGAGAUAUACAAGCUAAUGCAAGACCUAUCUGGGACAUGGCGUCAACUUCUUGUGUUGCAGUGUAAGACCUGUCUAGGACAUGGUAUCGACUUGAUGUGCUAGCCAGUGUAAGACCAUGUCUGGGCAUGACGUCAGCACCUUAUCCCAUGUUUGGGGCUAUUGAAUAUCAUGUAGUGUUCCAAAUGGUUCAACAGGAGAUUUAUGGUUUAUAUCAAAAUGAGAGAACUUAUGACCAUGUGUGCCACCAAAGUAGCUCGUGGAUCAUCGCCUUACGUCAGAGAAGCCAGUCACACUACCCUUGAAGAAUUUGGUAUAGCUAGUUUUAUCAUCUUGAUUGUGGCAUAUAUAGGAACUAGUCUUUUUGUAAUGGCCACAUGGUUUUUGGCCAAACGAGUAGCUUGUCAUAGCUAUUGAGUCAUUUUGUAUAAUGCCAUGGAUGGUGGCUAAUAUUGGUUAUUGAUAAAUGCAAAUGAUGAACUUUUGGGAAUGAGUAAA